ensembl:lncRNA
AUUUGGGAGAAACGUGCUUUCAGCAAAGUGUUUAAACAAAGUGUCUGUUUUGCAUUUUUUGGCAAAACAGUCCGGCCUCUUUGUUUGUCUUCACAGUGGAACUGAAUCACCUAUUUCCUCUGGGAGCCCAGGAAAAACUUUUCUGACAUUUUGGAUAAUUGAAAUACACAAACAUAAUUGCUGGAAAUACACUUUGUCAUGCAGAGUUUUUCUUCUGCAAGUCACCCAAAAUAAACAGCUGGACUUUUCCUAUGAAGUCCAGUUGUCUGGAAAACCUGGAUUAAACCUUCAGUAUGUUUAAAAUCCAUUUGGUUUAUUUAUUACACGUGAGGCUUUCAGAGUAAACAUGCUGCGAAUUUCUAUGAGAGAAACGAGCUCAGGCUGUUUUUAUUUUUUCAUUUUCCUCCAAAACACAGAGCUGCUUUGUUCUUUAACAAUGCUUCCUGCCCGUUAGAGCUGGAGGCGGGACCCGGCGCGAUGCUCCUCUCCAGCUGGGUUACAAUGGGACGUCGUGUUACCUGGCUCCACCACGGGACAGGAAGCAGGAACCGGUUGCAGCUCAUGGGAGAUAAUGGGAGCCAUGCGGAGAAGCAGGGAUUCGCCGUGGGCCUUGUUCCACAUCAGCACAUCCACACUGUCUGAACAGGAAGCAGCCUUUCCUGUCAGUCCCCCAAUCAGUGCGUGUCCCUGCCCUUACAGUCACACAAAUACACUUCAUCGUGAAUAAACAUCAGUUACUCCCAUGGCAGAGUGGUUUACUGCAGGAGGUGCUACUGUGUGAGCUGAAAAGUAAUGAAACUAUGCUAUGCUAAUCAGCAGAAGACGGACCGAACCACAACGAACUGGAAAACCAGACUGCACCUUGACCGGGUCCCAGCGCCGCAGGAAGCGCCGGGGCAGAUUUGUGGUGCGGGGCUGUCAGACAACUGUAAUCCACGCUGAUCUCAUCAGCGCCGAAGCAACAACAAACAGAGCAAGAGAAGGAAGGGAGCAGCUGCAGCUCCGACAGCUCCUGCGUCUCUGGUUUGGUUUGAUGACACUUUGCUAUAUCUGACAGCUGCUGUGCAGAACGGGCAAAGUCCACACCAGACCAACGGGAAGCGUCAUCACCUGUAGCUGAUAACCGUGUCCAGCGCUGUGGGUUCAGGAUCAUUUGAAGUGAGUAAACCUAUUGGUUGCUCCCCUCUGAGACGCACAAGUCGAUGCUUAUUUGUAAAUUUACUCUUUAAUGAAUGUGGUGGAGCAUGAAUAGCCUGUUCAAACAGAGGCUCACAGGCCACAUGUGGCUUAAAAGCAAACUUUGCCAGUCCCCCCUGAGUCCCUGAAUGCAACACCCCUGUUUUCCAUAUUUGACAUAGGAUCUGGACUCAGACAUGAUUAGAAAGGAUUCUGGCCACAGAUUCUGUUUCCUGCAGCAACAUGUGGGUGAUAAGAUGAGAUUAGGUCGGGGUGCACUCGCCUCCACUCUGACCCUGAACUCUGACCCCGUGUCUGAAGGACUUAAUACCUUUUCUCAUCAAGGUGGCAGUAACGCCACACUGUGUGUAAAUGUGUAAACAGGCCACAGGAUAAAAUCUAAGAAUGCGUUUUUCAAUCUAUACAUGUAAAAUUACCAAUGGAAGCUGCAAUUCGUUCUUGUCUGGACUCACUAGUACCAAUUUAUUCCACCAUUAAAUCCAGACCGCAUGAUAAUUUGCAUUGAGGCGUAGAACAAUGGCCUAGUUCAGGUGUCGCAUUGAAAUCCUUCUCCAACGGACUGAGCAGGAACGUGAUGGAUGCCCCGUCGUGUCACAGACGUAAGUGCUCUCAUACAUUACGCAGCACGUCGGACACUGCGUGACACAAAUGUGCGUCGAUGAUGGCUCAUUUUUCUUGCCACUCAUCCCUCUCUCACUCCUCCUCUGUGCGCCAAGGGCCUUUGGACAAACAGGGUAAAAAUACCAUCCAGUUACAGCCGGGUUGGGAGCUGGUAGCUGGAGCUGCUGGAGGCCGGCGGUAGGUUUUAUACAUAUGAACCUACAGCCAGUGUGACUGCCAGGGUAUACAAAACACAG